UUGGUCCAAUGGUAACGCGGCCGAUUUCAGAUGUGCAGGCGUCGGUUCGACCCCUGGU
rnacentral:tRNA from 1 species